AAAUAGUUGGUGGGUGUUCAUUUGACAACAGUGGCUCUCCCACAAUUAGGUCAAUCUUAGAAGAUUGAAUUGUGUUAUUAUCAUCAGAAUCAGAACAAGCAAAGAUCUUACUAGGGUCACUAUCGCUUCGUGGAAUUGAGAAUAAGUAUGGAACAUAAAGCAAGUUAUUCAAUGAGGUUGGUCAUAACUACAUUACUUGGGCAGCAAAAAUGGCCGUUGAACAAAAAACAGGAGUUCCAUUGGUUAUGUGGAAGGAAGAAGAUGCCCCUGAUCUGGUGAGAAAAGGAGGCGGUGACGUUCGAAAAGGAGGUUGCAACGUUCGAAUGUGGUUUUAAGGAGCAAAUAUGAUUGGUCGGUGGCGUUCAGGGAGAGCAGACAGGGACAUUUAGCAGAAAAGAUGGUUUUUGUGUUUCAAGGAAGGAAAGG